rnacentral:misc_RNA from 1 species
AAUCAUCAACCCCACUGGGGGCUUGGACUUGGAGCGUGCUGGCGAAGGUCAGCUCCUCUUUAAAUGCAUCAGCGGAAGAAUGCACCUUCUCUUUCUCCCUUCGGCGUGAUAAUCCUGUUGCGCCGUGUGCGGGUGGAAGGUGUUCCGCUUAUAAUCGUCCUUGGACAACGUUACAC